rnacentral:rRNA from 1 species
ACGCUCGACACCUACGGGAGGCAGCAGUGGGGAAUAUUGCACAAUGGGGGAAACCCUGAUGCAGCGACGCCGCGUGAAGGAUGAAGUAUUUCGGUAUGUAAACUUCUAUCAGCAGGGAAGAAAGUGACGGUACCUGACUAAGAAGCCCCGGCUAACUACGUGUCAGCAGCCGCGGUAAUCUGAGCGGGCUGGCAAGGC